rnacentral:rRNA from 1 species
UACGGAGGGUGCAAGCGUUAUCCGGAUUCACUGGGUUUAAAGGGUGUGUAGGCGGGUAUUUAAGUCAGCGGUGAAAUCUCCAGGCUCAACCUGGAAACUGCCAUUGAUACUAUUUAUCUUGAAUAUCGUUGAGGUUGGCGGAAUAUAUCAUGUAGCGGUGAAAUGCAUAGAUAUGAUAUAGAACACCGAUUGCGAAGGCAGCUAACUAAGCGAUUAUUGACGCUGAGGCACGAAAGCGUGGGGAUCAAACAGG